GGUAAGAUAUGAGCUUGGACGGAGGACGAUGACGACGGCGAAGCUCUGCUCAGCUGCUCUCAGACGGAGGGUACGGCGACGGACUCACGGUGACGGUGACAGACUCACGACGACGAAGGAUGGAGGACGGAAGAGGGAGGCUAGGUUCUGCGCUUGGACAGAGGAUGUUGGCGGCAAAGCGCUGCUCAGCUGCUCUGGACGAAGGACGGAGGCAAGAACGACGACAGCCGGCAAGUAGGUGUUGGAGAAGAAGAAGGCAAGAAGCUCAAUGCAAUACUGGCUAUUGCUCUCAGCCUCAGCCUCUCACUGUGGUUUCUAGAAUCUGGAGAAGAGAAGAAUAAAUUUUUAGGGUUUCAAACU